rnacentral:rRNA from 1 species
CGCACGGGUGAGUAACACGUAUCCAACCUGCCGUCUACUCUUGGACAGCCUUCUGAAAGGAAGAUUAAUACAAGAUGGCAUCAUGAGUCCGCAUGUUCACAUGAUUAAAGGUAUUCCGGUAGACGAUGGGGAUGCGUUCCAUUAGAUGUAGGCGGGGUAACGGCCCACCUAGUCUUCGAUGGAUAGGGGUUCUGAGAGGAAGGUCCCCCACAUUGGAACUGAGACACGGUCCAAACUCCUACGGGAGGCAGCAUG